rnacentral:rRNA from 1 species
UACAGAGGGUGCGAGCGUUGUCCGGAAUCACUGGGCGUAAAGGGCGCGUAGGCGGUCUGGUAAGCGUGUGGUGAAAGCUCGGGGCUCAACCCCGAGUCGGCCGUGCGAACUGCUGGACUGAAGCAUGUCAGAGGCAGGCGGAAUUCCGGGUGUAGCGGUGGAAUGCGUAGAGAUCCGGAAGAACACCGGUGGCGAAGGCGGCCUGCUGGGCUGCACCUGACGCUGAGCCGCGAAAGCCAGGGGAGCGAACGGG